rnacentral:rRNA from 1 species
UACGUAGGGUGCAAGCGUUGUCCGGAAUUAUUGGGCGUAAAGAGCUCGUAGGCGGUUCGUCGCGUCGGCUGUGAAAUCCCGAGGCUCAACCUCGGGUCUGCAGUCGAUGCGGGCGGACUGGAGUUCGGCAGGGGAGACUGGAAUUCCGUGGUGUAGCGGGUGAAAUGCGCGAUAUCAGGAGGAACACCGGUGGCGAAGGCGGGUCGUCUGGGCCGAUACUGACGGCUGAGGAGCGAAAGCGUGGGGAGCGAACAGGAUUAGAGUACCC